rnacentral:rRNA from 1 species
GAUAAACGCUAGCGGCAGGCUUAACGCAUGCAAGUCGAGGGGCAGCAUAGAUUGUAGCAAUACAAUUGGUGGCGACCGGCGCACGGGUGCGUAACGCGUAUGCAACCUACCCGUCACAGGGGGAUAAUUCGGAGAAAUCUGGUCUAAUACCCCAUAACAUAUGGAUCGGCAUCGGUUCAUGUUGAAAUUUUCGGAGGUGACGGAUGGGCAUGCGUAGCAUUAGCUUGUUGGUGAGGUAACGGCUCACCAAGGCGACGAUGCUUAGGGGGACUGAGAGGUUUUCCCCCCACACUGGUACUGAGACACGGACCAGACUCCUACGGGAGGCAGCAGUGAGGAAUAUUGGUCAAUGGGCGCAAGCCUGAACCAGCCAUGCCGCGUGCAGGAUGACGGCUCUAUGAGUUGUAAACUGCUUUUAUACGAGGGUAAAGUGGGUUACGUGUAACCUUUUGAAAGUAUCGUACGAAUAAGGAUCGGCUAACUCCGUGCCAGCCGCCGCAGUAA